rnacentral:rRNA from 1 species
UUUUAUGAGAGUUUGAUCCUGGCUCAGGACGAACGCUGGCGGCGUGCCUAAUACAUGCAAGUCGAACGCUUCUUUUUCCACCGGAGCUUGCUCCACCGGAAAAAGAGGAGUGGCGAACGGGUGAGUAACACGUGGGUAACCUGCCCAUCAGAAGGGGAUAACACUUGGAAACAGGUGCUAAUACCGUAUAACAAUCGAAACCGCAUGGUUUUGAUUUGAAAGGCGCUUUCGGGUGUCGCUGAUGGAUGGACCCGCGGUGCAUUAGCUAGUUGGUGAGGUAACGGCUCACCAAGGCGACGAUGCAUAGCCGACCUGAGAGGGUGAUCGGCCACAUUGGGACUGAGACACGGCCCAAACUCCUACGGGAGGCAGCAGUAGGGAAUCUUCGGCAAUGGACGAAAGUCUGACCGAGCAACGCCGCGUGAGUGAAGAAGGUUUUCGGAUCGUAAAACUC